GAUAAUUAAAAAAAUCAUCUCAAGCAUAUGUCGAUACAGAAGUGAAAUGCUACACGAAUUCGUGGAGAACUACAGAUCAUAUGGAAAUUGCUUUUUUUACUUCUUUGUUCGUCUUCUUGCAAAUAAAAUGAAAAGACUCUUUCGUUGUUUUCUGUCUCCCGGAUGUGAACGUCUUGUCGAGCCCAAUAACAGAACAAAGAAAAUGAAUACUAUAUUACCCUGCAGGUUCAGAGUGUGGAAAAAUCCCACUUACGAAUACUACAGUCAAAUUACCAAACGUCUCAGAGUAGAAAUGGAUUACAAUAUUUAUAAUACAUAUGUAUGUUGUAAAUUAUUCACUUUGCAGGAGAUCGUUUGUCACCGAAAACUCUUGUUCUUUGAAGUUUCAUCUACAAUUGAACAGUGAUUUCAAAAUUCAGAGUGAGACACGAACACCAGGGGAAACCACUUUCGAAAUCAUUCUGUCAAUAACAACCUGCGGUGUUUUGAGGUGCAGCCACCAGCAAGAGAACUAUAGGUCUGGAGAGCUGGACCUCGGACAAUUGUAGAAUAAUAGACGAGGGAAACAUAUCGUCGUUCACUGAAGAUUACUUGACGUGACCAGAAUCCCAUUAAACCUGCACUCCGUACCAUUUGGUCUCCAUCACGUGUUUGUCAAAUUCCUCGCGAAGUAUGGCGCACAUAUGGUGACCAGUUCUGGCAAAAUCUGGUCGACAGGAGAGGUAUGCAGCCCUUCACGCAAAUACAGGUUUCGCUGGACACAGUCACUUUGACAUAAUUCUUCGAAGUUCUACUUAAUCUCUGCAAAUAUAUCUGCAGACCAUUUGGCCACCCGAGGUGGCAAUGCACAACUAUAUCAGAGGGUUCACCAAACAUGAUAAGCAGCGGGGGAGGGCAGGUAUGGCAGCCAGAGGCCUCUGAAAACAUCUGAAAUUGUGAUCAAGUCAUGUUACAGGAUAAGUUACGAGAUACGAUAGAACUAAAUCUCAGUCGAGGACGGAAAACCUUACGGAGAUGGUUCCCUAGUGAUCGAGAAAUGGAAUAUUGAAAGGAUUUAUCUCUAUUGCAAUCGCUUACUGUUCGUCUUCUAUACAAUACGUUCUCGAAAAAUUAUGCAUCAGUGGAUAGUUUUUUUUAAAAAUAGUGUGACAGAUGUAUAAAGUAUGUAUUAGCAAACUAGGACUCAAACCGCUGUUGUAUAAGAUGUAAAACCCAUACGUGGGGGAAAUCUAUCUAUAGACCAUUUUGAAGUGUGUUAAUAGUUCUGCAAAAUGGUGUACGAUAAAUCCACUUUCAUUGGAUUUCCGUCGAGUUAUUGUACGUUAUUUCCAUUUGUUACGUUAUAUCACAAUUGAAAAAUGAUAGUUUUUGCCAAUUAUUGAGAUUGUAGAUUCAACCAGUGGGAAUAUACCAUAUAUCAGA